GUUCGACUCUGUAGAGUACAACGGGAAGCUUUUCGUGCCCGGUCAGGCUAACAACGCUUACAUAUUCCCCGGGUUUGGUUUAGGUUUGAUCAUGUCGGGAACAAUACGUAUACACGACGACCUGCUAUUAGCAGCCUCUGAAGCUUUGGCAGCUCAAGUGACGGAGGAGAGCUACGCGAAAGGACUGAUAUACCCCCCGUUUACAAAUAUAUAUUAGGAAGAUCUCAGCACAUAUUGCAGCUACCGUAGCUGCAAAGGCAUACGAACUCGGUUUGGCGUCGCGUCUUCCCCGUCCGAAAGAUCUCGUCAAGUUUGCAGAGAGCUGUAAUGUACACACCAGUCUACGGCAGCUAUCGCUAAUCGAAU